rnacentral:rRNA from 1 species
GAUGAACGCUAGCGAUAGGCUUAACACAUGCAAGUCGAGGGGCAGCACAAGGUAGCUUGCUCUCUGGGUGGCGACCGGCGCACGGGUGCGGAACGCGUAUGCAACUUGCCCUAUACAGGAGGAUAACCCGUCGAAAGACGGACUAAUACUGCGUAUGCUCACAACUUGGCAUCAAGUGGUGAGGAAAGAAAUUCGGUAUAGGAUAGGCAUGCGUCCCAUUAGCUUGUUGGUGAGGUAACGGCUCACCAAGGCAACGAUGGGUAGGGGAACUGAGAGGUUUAUCCCCCACACUGGUACUGAGACACGGACCAGACUCCUACGGGAGGCAGCAGUGAGGAAUAUUGGUCAAUGGGCGCGAGCCUGAACCAGCCAAGUCGCGUGAAGUAGGACUGUCUUAUGGAUUGUAAACUUCUUUUAGACGGGAAUAACAAGAGUCACGUGUGACUCCCUGCAUGUACCGUAUGAAUAAGCAUCGGCUAACUCCGUG